CGUAGGUGGCAAGCGUUGUCCGGAUUUAUUGGGUUUAAAGGGUGCGUAGGCGGCCUAUUAAGUCAGUGCUGAAAUAUCCCGGCUUAACCGGGAGGGUGGCAUUGAUACUGAUGGGCUUGAGUGCAGUCGAGGUAGGCGGAAUUGACGGUGUAGCGGUGAAAUGCUUAGAUAUCGUCAAGAACACCGAUAGUGUAGACAGUUUACUAGGCUGCAACUGACGCUGAGGCACGAAAGUGUGGGGAUCAAACAGGAUUAGAUACCCUGGUAGUCCACACUGUAAACGUUGAUGACUCGCUGUUGGCGAUAUACAGUCAGCGGCUUAGCGAAAGCGAUAAGUCAUCCACUGGGGAGUACGCCGGCAACGGUG
rnacentral:rRNA from 1 species